UACAGAGGUCUCAAGCGUUGUUCGGAUUCAUUGGGCGUAAAGGGUGCGUAGGUGGCGCCGUAAGUCAGGUGUGAAAUCUCGGAGCUUAACUCCGAAACUGCAUUCGAUACUGCCGUGCUUGAGGACUGGAGAGGAGACUGGAAUUUACGGUGUAGCGGUGAAAUGCGUAGAUAUCGUAAGGAAGACCAGUGGCGAAGGCGGCGCUCUGGGCUGCACCUGACGCUGAGAUGCGAAAGUGUGGGGAGCAAACGGG
rnacentral:rRNA from 1 species